rnacentral:misc_RNA from 1 species
GAAAUGCGAUAAGUAAUGUGAAUUGCAGAAUUCAGUGAAUCAUCGAAUCUUUGAACGCACAUUGCGCCCGCCAGUAUUCUGGCGGGCAUGCCGUUCGAGCGUCAUUUCCACCAUCAGGCCCCCGGGCCUGUGUUGGGGACCUGCGGCUGCCCGCAGGCCCCGAAAUUCAGUGGCGGUCGCGCCGUAGCAACCGAGCGUAGUAACUAAAACGUCUCGCUCUGGCUCGCUGGGCGCGCUCCGGCCGUAAAACACCCCCCCUUUUCGCAAAGGUUGACCUCGGAUCAGGUAGGAAUACCCGCUGAACUUAAGC